UACGUAGGAGACGAGCGUUGUCUGGAAUUACUGGGCGUAAAGCGCGUGUAGGCGGAUGGGCAAGUCUGCUGUGAAAGCUCCUGGCUUAACCGGGAGUGGUCGGUGGAAACUGCUAAUCUGGAGGACGGUAGAGGUAGGUAGAAUUCCCGGUGUAGUGGUGAAAUGCGUAGAGAUCGGGAGGAAUACCUGUGGCGAAGGCGGCCUACUGGGCCGGACCUGACGCUGAGACGCGAAGGCGUGGGGAGCGAACGGG
rnacentral:rRNA from 1 species